UAAUAUAUUUUAAAUGAUAUAUAUAUAUAUAUAAUUUAUAUAUUAAUAUUUAUUAAAUGAGACUUUUUACUUAUAUAAAUUUGUAAUAAUUUGUAUCUUGUCAUAACAUAAAUUAUAAACCAUAGAGCACAAAAAAUCCAAUGUGAGAUUUAACAGCUAUAGUCAUGUAUACUCAUUUAAAAAAAAUACAAAAUAUAAUAUGUAUGAAAAAAUUAAAAUUUUCAUUAUAUAGUUAAAGAGUUUGUUUAAUUUAUUUUAAUAAGUUAAAAUCUAAAAAAUGAUAAGAGUAUAGACUAGUUUUUAUGAAAUUUUUAUUAUUCAUACAUUAAUUGUCAUAUAUACUUCAGCCACAUUAGAUAAUUUCGUAAUUUUUAUUUAAGGAAAUUAUGAAGAAUUUUAAUAACUAAUUUAUGAUUAAUUUAAUAAAAAAUUAUUUAAACAAGAAUGUUGCACCAUUUCUUUGACUAAUAAUAUUUUAGUUUUAUUUUAAAUUUUGACUAACAGUAUGUUAUCAUAUAUUUAUCUAAUAAUAAUUUAAUCAAUUUAAUAGGUGGUAUAACUAGAUUUCUUAAAUUUUAUGAGAUUUUCCUUAAAUAAAAAUAUUUUAAAUUUUUUUAACAUGAUACAAAGCCAUCGUAUAUCUUUCUAAAGCUUUUGCGAACUUCAAUGCUUCGUUGAGAUUUGUGUUUGCUUAAUUUUCUCCAUUUGCGUUUUUCUUUUCAUAUUUUUUUUUCUUUGCACUUUUACAUUUAAAAUUAUAAAGGGUAUAUGGUCGUUGUCAGUGUAAACCAUAAUUUUAAUAACUUAAAACACUCAUAUUAGUUUGCAUUUAACCAACCUGCAAUUAAUAUUAGAAAAAUAUCCACAUAUUAAAAAUAGUAGUUACAAAACAUAUAUCAUUAAUAUACUAUUAAAGAAUCAUAAAUUAAAUAGUCUAUUUAAAUUUAUGUGCUAUUAAAAGUAUAUCAAAAACUGAAUUAUAUUUUUAAAUAUUAUUUAUAUGGGUUUUUAUCGUGUCAGAAACUAUCGAAUCGCGGAUUAAUGACAAGUUUUCUGAUUUUAUUGGGUUUUAUCUGGUUUUCCAAUAUUAUAUUUUAACUGAAUCUGAACUGGAUUAUAUACGGAUCACCGGAUUUACCGGUUCGAUCGUAUGUCUGAAUCACAAAAACACUGUUAAAAAUUAUUAAACCCCAUAAAAUAUAUACUAUUAAUUUAGCCCAAAAUCUACCAAGUAAAUCUUACGUCUAACCAAUUCAACAGAUGUAACUCUUAUAAAAUGAAUAUCUAAUUAUAUAAAGUACACUUUGAAUCCCUCCCACAGUGUCCAGCUAUGAUGCCAUGUCACUAUUUCAGAUGCUCUCGAGCUGACACGUGGCUAUUUUAACAAAAACACAGCGGUUCAUUAAAGCUUCGUUGUACAUGCAUCACUUCUUUAAAGAUCUGUCGUCAUGGGUUUUGUUUGUAAAUAUUGUGCAAUUGGGCUUUAAAUUGGAAAUUAUCCGGGCCCGGCGUGAAGGAGACCCUCUAACCCUAAUCCGCUGCAGUGAUGAAACGAAGUCUGUCUAUCCUCUACGUGCGACGCGCUGCAGCGACGUUCACGAUUUCUCACCAUCUGAAACAGUCUGAGUAAAGGCUACUUGAUUACUCCCAUUGAUUCACACCCCCACUCCGUCUUCUUCAAUGCUGUUUGAUCUGAGAUGUUGUGGUUUCGGUAUAAAUACGUGUGAGAUUUCCUUUCGUUCAUCUCAUCAUAUCUUCAUAUCUCUUAAAUCUCAUACUAAUAGAUCGUGUUAUGGCUAACUCAAGGUUUUUUUUCUCUGAUCUGAGGUCCGGCAAGUGCUCCUCCGUCGUCGAGGCGAGGCUCCUGUGGUUUCGGUUCUGGGGAGACCAGAAAUGUUAAGCCUGGUGGUGAACUGGUGUGGGUCGAUAUGUUAAUGGUUGACGUGAAUGUGACCCAUAUAUAUAUAUAUAUAUAUAUCUAUGACGUAUAUUUCAAACUUCGCUAUCGUGUUGAGAUGGCUAUUGCUGAUGAUACUGCUGCAGGAACAUUUGUUUGGUUUGAUGGUGUGAUGAAGAAACUACAUAAUCUCAGAGCAAGUGAGGCUGUUCAGAUGCUGGCUGAAGAUGGAGUGAACUCUGAAGACUCUAGGAGACUAGGAUACCUUCGUUCAUUUCAGAUAUGGAAAGAAAGUCAAUACACUUUCCAGGUGAGGGUCACUGCUUAUAACUUACCCGGCAAUCAUAAGACGUUUACCAUAACAUGAUAUAUGAAGCAACGUUUCAGAAAGAAACAACAAUAUUGAUAUUCAGCAUUGUUGAUGAGCUUGGUCGUGUGCGAGACGAUGACGUGGGUGACAAUGGAGGUAACGAGGAUGAUGAUGACAACAUGCCUAAUGGCAAGCCAGCUCCUGUUGGGUUUGCAUCUGGAAGGGCCACUGGUAAUGGAUCAGAUGGGUCUAUACGGUACUGCGCGUAAGAAUCCGGAUGUCUCAUCCUCUAAGGUGGUCAAGAAGGCGCGUGUUGCUUAGGAUGUAGCAGUAACAAAUUUUUGAUCAGAAUCUCAGUUUUAAUAAUACUUAUGCAUCUUUGUUUAAUUUCAAGUAUUUGGAUAUUUAUGUUUUAGAUAUUCCCAAUUAUAUGGGUACUUUUAAGUUUGUUUCAGUCUUUAUUCACUUUUA